AUGGAAAUAUAUAUGAGAGAAAAUGGAAGAGAAGAGUAUGUUGUGGCAAGAUACCUUCUUGACCAUUUCAGUCACAGUGAUUUCAGGAUUACUUCUCACAGACAACUUCUGCUGGGCCAUAGGAGGCCACUUCUGAACUGUGUCUGGAGUUCUCUGGAGAACUCAAGUCAAUGUAUAUUUCCCACCAUAGGACUCUCAGAGAAGAGAGGUGGAGAGCCAUGGUGGAUGUCCUACGCUCUCCAGCGGGCCAAGAGGAUGAAGUCAGUGGAGGAAGAACCCUGGAUGUUGCCUGUCUAUCCAUUUGGAUAAGAGUCAAGACACAUUUAGGCUGUGAAGUUGUGCAACUUGUAAUGAAUCAUUAAUAAUGCCUUGCAUCCUUUUCACUUUCACUCUGACAGUGUCACACACAAGUCUUAAAUUCGGCCUUGUGUUUUGCGCCAUCAUAUGACAUGCCUGGAUUUGAACCUUCAUUUAAAGCUUUUUGAUCAAACUGUCCUCUCUUUCGUUUUAUGUCAGAUUGUCCAGCACUCAGACAAUUGCAUCAAUUAUUUUUAUGUAAGGCUAAAAAUGCAGCAUUAUAAUCAGGCAUCAUGUCAUGACAAAACACAGGGCCCUACUUAUAAAAAAAAUAUAUAUAUAUAUAUUUUUUUGCAAUGCAUUUGUGUUUGGUUAAUGUAGUCAAUACAAGGUUUGACAUAAAUCCCUAAGUGAGUACAAAUAAUAAAGUAUGUUGGGGCAAAAACGUAUGUACUUAUUGAACAAAAGAAACGUUCAUGAAGUCUGCUCAUCCAUUUGAGGAUAUGCAUUGAGUGCUAAAUCAUACCAGACUCCGAGACACAAAACUCCACAGGCAAAUACAAAAAGGCCCUUACCUUUGCCAUCACAGAUGUACAACUACACUCCUGUCUGAACUUCCCUGGAUAUGUGUCUUGUCACAAAGCACAGUUUCUCUCACACACUUCCUCUCUCCACUCACAAUAAAAUAUCAUUAUUAUUUUGUGUGCUUGGAUCUACAUUUCGGAGGGUAUCAAACUUCCUACUUCACUAACUUGAGCCACAACAUGAUCAUGCCCAGGGCCGGUCCUGGACGUGCUGCCGCCCAAGGCGAGACAAUUAUUUUCUCAGCUAAAAGUCAGAAGGAACAGAAGAGUAGCUCAAUGAAUAGGCCUAUGCUACAAAUUAAACGCAAUUUUUAAUACAUCUCGUUAAUAGGCUAUAUAACCAGUUCAAUGUCAAUAAUAUAGUUAAAAUCACUAAUGCCCCGGAAGCUCUGCCACCCGAGGUGAGACAAAAAAAAUUACAGGAGUAUUUUAUGUUUUUUUGUCUGGGAGUCGGAUUUAGCAGUAGUACCACAACUGUCAUCGGGGACGGGGAGCGAAGAAUCUGAAUCUGGGUCCAAGAUAGGGUCUUGGCGGCAUUGUUUGGAGGUGUGGCUUGGCCUGGUGCGAGCACCUGUUCUUGUCCAGCCCAGAGAGCUGUCAUCAUCGGUGGAAGUGCAUGGCUUGGGACUCCACCGGUUUGCCCUCUUUGCUGCUAGAAUCAGCGAACCGGGGCUCGUCGUCCUCGUAGGCUUGUCAUUCUCCACACCGACUGAUGGACAUUGCUGCAUGCUGAUACAAUGCACCAGCACAUUUCUUUGGUUCAGAGAUUGUGCCUCUUUUCUCAUAGUUGUCGGUUAGACGUGGUAGCAAAUUGUUUCAACUCUCUAUAGAUUACGUUUAGCUAAAAUUAUAUCCACUGUUAGCUACAUGGUAGGCUACUGCCUUAAAUCACUAAUCGUGUCACACACAAAUAUAUUUUAAAACAAACAUUUAAUUGGCAGAUUCAUUUUUAUAAUUUUUUCACAAUUGGAUAAUCCCAUAAACACAUCACCACCAAGGAUAGUGGGAUUCGGGAGA
rnacentral:lncRNA from 1 species